AUGAGGGGCGGAGCCAGCAGCGCGCUGUCCGGGACCCGCGCCACGCCGGCGCGAGCGGGGUGGUCUGGGUGGGUCUGUAUUGUCCAGUUGCUAGCGGUCACCGGGCUGGGCCACUGCUGGUGUUUUUGCGACAGGGGUCAGUUAGGAGAACAUUGUCGUGACCUGUUUGUUUUUUAUUGGUGUGAUCUAGGGUAAAGUUCUGAGCGGCCCGAUUUUUCGCGCCUUUUUGUCUGCUAAAACUGUCCCUGAAGUUACUCUAAAGGGCAUUAGUCAUAAGAGAUGGUGCAUUGAUAAGCAAGUUUGUCACAAUUAUCUGUGAUCCCACGUGAAGGGAAUUGACUAAUUAGAGUAGCUUUCAAUGAAUAAUCUGGAAGAGUAAAGUAUCUGAGGGAAAUAGAAAGCCUGGCUUUUGCCCGAGUGCCGAAACAAGUUGAUGGAGGAUACAGAUUCGGAUAUAAGUGGAUAAUCCAAGAACUGCCGCUCUGGGAAGGUCACUUGUGAACAAGUCUGUAGGAGUAUGCCAAGCUGUUGGGACUGCCCAGAAUUGAUAUUUCUUUGUCGUGGAGGGAUACUGUUUGUUUGUUUUGUUUCCUGUAAAGAACAGCGAGGCUGAACAUGAUGGUUUUAAUUUUUCAGAUCUUGAAACCGGGGAGUUGAAAGCCAGCAGGAGCAGUAGGGCAUUUGAAUAUCGUUUAUUUUACUUGAGAAAGCUACUUCCCAUUCUUUCUUUGAGUUUUGGCAACAAAAGUAAUUUUUCCCCUUUGUAAUGACUUAAUAAAGUCUUUUUUGC
rnacentral:lncRNA from 1 species